AGGACGAACGCUGGCGGCGUGCUUAACACAUGCAAGUCGAGCGGAAAGGCCCUUCGGGGUACUCGAGCGGCGAACGGGUGAGUAACACGUGAGCAAUCUGCCCCUAGCUCUGGGAUAGCUCCGGGAAACCGGGAUUAAUACCAGAUACAACCACUUUAGACAUCUUUUGUGGUGGAAAGGAUUCCGGCUAGGGAUGAGCUCGCGGCCUAUCAGCUUGUUGGUUGGGGUAACGCCCACAAGGCGACGACGGGUAGCCGGCCUGAGAGGGCGACCGGCCACACUGGGACUGAGACACGGCCCAGACUCCUACGGGAGGCAGCAGUGGGGAAUAUUGCGCAAUGGGCGAAAGCCUGACGCAGCGACGCCGCGUGGGGGAUGAAGGCCUUCGGGUUGUAAACCCCUUUCAGCAGGGACGAAGCGAAAGUGGCGGUACCUGCAGAAGAAGCGCCGGCUAACUACGUGCCAGCAGCCGC
rnacentral:rRNA from 1 species